rnacentral:rRNA from 1 species
AGUGAACGCUGGCGGUAGGCCUAACACAUGCAAGUCGAACGGCAGCACAGUAAGAGCUUGCUCUUACGGGUGGCGAGUGGCGGACGGGUGAGGAAUACAUCGGAAUCUACUUUUUCGUGGGGGAUAACGUAGGGAAACUUACGCUAAUACCGCAUACGACCUACGGGUGAAAGCAGGGGAUCUUCGGACCUUGCGCGAUUGAAUGAGCCGAUGUCGGAUUAGCUAGUUGGCGGGGUAAAGGCCCACCAAGGCGACGAUCCGUAGCUGGUCUGAGAGGAUGAUCAGCCACACUGGAACUGAGACACGGUCCAGACUCCUACGGGAGGCAGCAGUGGGGAAUAUUGGACAGUGGGCGCAAGCCUGAUCCAGCCAUACCGCGUGGGUGAAGAAGGCCUUCGGGUUGUAAAGCCCUUUUGUUGGGAAAGAAAAGCAGCAGGUUAAUACCCCGCUGUUCUGACGGUACCCAAGGAAUAAGCACCGGCUAACUUCGUG